rnacentral:misc_RNA from 1 species
GAUGAAGAACGUAGCGAAAUGCGAUAAGUAAUGUGAAUUGCAGAAUUCAGUGAAUCAUCGAAUCUUUGAACGCAUCUUGCGCUCCUUGGUAUUCCGAGGAGCAUGCCUGUUUGAGUGUCAUUUAACUUCUCAACCACAUUGGAUAUUUUUUUUCCGAUGCCGGCUUGGAUGUGGGGGUUGUUUGCAGGCUUUUUGUAACAAAAAAGGUCGGCUCCCCUGAAAUGUAUUAGUGGUAUCUGAGGCUAUUACUAUUAGGUGUGAUAAUUAUCUAUGCCUUUUGGGUAUGCCGCAUGAACAGAUUAUGCUGCUUCUAACGAAAACUAUUUUGAUGAAUUUGACCUCAAAUCAGGUAGGACUACCCGCUGAACUUAAGCAUAUCAAUAAGCGGAGGGA